rnacentral:rRNA from 1 species
GAUGAACGCUGGCGGCGUGCCUAACACAUGCAAGUCGAGCGAUUCUCUUCGGAGAAGAGCGGCGGACGGGUGAGUAACGCGUGGGUAACCUGCCCUGUACACACGGAUAACAUACCGAAAGGUAUGCUAAUACGGGAUAAUAUGCUUUAGUCGCAUGGCUGAAGUAUCAAAGCUCCGGCGGUACAGGAUGGACCCGCGUCUGCUUAGCUAGUUGGUAAGGUAACGGCUUACCAAGGCGACGAUCAGUAGCCGACCUGGGAGGGUGAUCGGCCACAUUGGAACUGAGACACGGUCCGAACUGGUACGGGAGGCAGCAGGGGGGAAUAUUGCACAAUGGGCGAAAGCCUGAUGCAGCAACGCCGCGUGAGCGAUAAAGGCCUUCGGGUCGUAAAGCUCUGUCCUCAAGGAAGAUAAUGACGGUACUUGAGGAGGAAGCCCCGGCUAACUACGUGCCAGCCGCCGCGGUAA